rnacentral:rRNA from 1 species
UGGGGAAUUUUGGACAAUGGGCGAAAGCCUGAUCCAGCAAUGCCGCGUGUGUGAAGAAGGCCUUCGGGUUGUAAAGCACUUUUGUCCGGAAAGAAAUCCUUGGCUCUAAUACAGUCGGGGGAUGACGGUACCGGAAGAAUAAGCACCGGCUAACUACGUGCCAGCAGCCGCGGUAAUACGUAGGGUGCAAGCGUUAAUCGGAAUUACUGGGCGUAAAGCGUGCGCAGGCGGUUUGCUAAGACCGAUGUGAAAUCCCCGGGCUCAACCUGGGAACUGCAUUGGUGACUGGCAGGCUAGAGUAUGGCAGAGGGGGGUAGAAUUCCACGUGUAGCAGUGAAAUGCGUAGAGAUGUGGAGGAAUACCGAUGGCGAAGGCAGCCCCCUGGGCAAUACUGACGCUCAUGCACGAAAGCGUGGGGAGCAAACAGGAUUAGAUACCCUGGUAGUCCACGCCCUAAACGAUGUCAACUAGUUGUUGGGGAUCAUUCCUUAGUAACGUAGCUAACGCGUGAAGUUGACCGCCUGGGGAGUACGGUCGCAAGAUUAAAACUCAAAUGAAUUGACGGGGUCAUAGCUGUUUCCU